rnacentral:rRNA from 1 species
GUAUUAGCCAGUUGGCGGGGUAACGGCCCACCAAAGCGAUGAUACGUAGCCGGCCUGAGAGGGUAGACGGCCACAUUGGGACUGAAACACGGCCCAAACUCCUACGGGAGGCAGCAGUAGGGAAUUUUCGUCAAUGGGGGGAACCCUGAACGAACAAUGCCGCGUGAGUGAAGAAGGCCUUCGGGUCGUAAAGCUCUGUUGUAAGAAAAAAACGGUAAUGAUAGGGAAUGAUCAUUAAGUGAUGGUAUCUUACGAGGAAGCCACGGCUAACUACGUGCCAGCAGCCGCGGUAAUACGUAAGUGGCAAGCGUUAUCCGGAAUGAUUGGGCGUAAAGGGUGCGCAGGCGGAUGUAUAAGUCUGAAGUAAAAGCCAUCGGCUCAACCGAUGUAAGCUUUGGAAACUGUAGAUCUAGAGUGCAGGAGAGGACAGUGGAAUUCCAUGUGUAGCGGUAAAAUGCGUAGAUAUAUGGAGGAACACCAGUGGCGAAGGCGGCUGUCUGGCCUGUAACUGACGCUGAGGCACGAAAGCGUGGGGAGCAAAUAGGAUUAGAUACCCUAGUAGUCCACGCUGUAAACGAUGAGAACUAAGUGUUGGAGAGAUUCAGUGCUGCAGUUAACGCAAUAAGUUCUCCGCCUGGGGAGUAUGCACGCAAGUGUGAAACUCAAAGGAAUUGACGGGGGCCCGCACAAGCGGUGGAGUAUGUGGUUUAAUUCGAAGCAACGCGAAGAACCUUACCAGGCCUUGACAUGGCGUUAAAUGCCCUAGAGAUAGGGAGAUAGAAAUAAUGCACACAGGUGGUGCAUGGUUGUCGUCAGCUCGUGUCGUGAGAUGUUGGGUUAAGUCCCGCAACGAGCGCAACCCUUGUCGCAUGUUACCAGCAGUAAGAUGGGGACUCAUGCGAGACUGCCGGUGAUAAACCGGAGGAAGGCGGGGAUGACGUCAAAUCAUCAUGCCCCUUAUGGCCUGGGCGACACACGUACUACAAUGGCGACUACAGAGGGAAGCGAGACAGUGAUGUUAAGCGGACCCCAAAAAGGUCGUCCCAGUUCGGAUUGAAGUCUGCAACUCGACUUCAUGAAGCCGGAAUCGCUAGUAAUCGCAGAUCAGCAUGCUGCGGUGAAUACGUUCUCGGGCCUUGUACACACCGCCCGUCAAACCAUGGGAGUCGGUAAUGCCCGAAGCCGG